UAUACGUAUGCUAUUUGUGACGUAAACACAUAUACGUAUGCUAUUUGUGACGUAAACACACACGUAAAAUAUUUAUGCUUGAAACGUCACAGCUACUCCCGCUGUACACUGUGAAGUUCUGCUUAAGAGGAAUUCGAAUAGCUUUCGGAUAGGUUACAUCACAUCAUCUUUCAGCAGAGCGUGACCUCCCAAGGCCAAGGAAAAGGUUGACAGAGCUCAUGAUAAAAACAUUGAAAAUGGAGGAUGGUGGACAGGAAGUAAGCAAGCAAUGGGGAUUCCGUUUCCUACGAAGUCCUGUGAAGGUGCUCCCAGGGGCUGAUGGGAAAAGAGUUGCAGGAAUUCGUUUGGCUGUUAACAAGCUUGAGGGCUCAGGGGAGGGGGCUCAGGCAAUACCCACAGGCCAUACAGAGGACCUGGAGUGUGGGAUGGUUAUCUGCAGUAUUGGCUACAAGA